GACGAACGCUGGCGGCGUGCUUAACACAUGCAAGUCGAACGGGCCCGCUCUCUUUUUUGGGGGUGGGUUGAGUGGCGAACGGGUGAGUAUCACGUGAGUAACCUGCCCCCUGCUCCUGGAUAACUGCUUGAAAGGGCGGCUAAUACGGGGUGUGCCGGCUGGUCCGCAUGGGCCUGGUCGGGAUAGUUUCAUCUUCGGGUGUUUCGGUGGGGGAUGGGCUCGCGGCCUAUCAGCUUGUUGGUGGGGUGAUGGCCCACCAAGGCGGUGACGGGUAGCCGGCCUGAGAGGGUGGGCGGCCACACUGGGACUGAGACACGGCCCAGACUCCUGCGGGAGGCAGCAGUGGGGGGCAUUGCGCAAUGGGCGGAAGCCUGAUGCAGCGACGGCGCGUGAGGGAUGGAGGCCUUCGGGUUGUGAACCUCUUUCUCCGGUGGUGAAGGCCCUGUCCGUUGCGGCGGGGUUGACGGUAGCCGGGUAUGAAGCGCCGGCUAACUACGUG
rnacentral:rRNA from 1 species